rnacentral:sRNA from 1 species
UUUUAGCCCCGAUUGUAGUGAAAAUCCUUGUGGACUGGGGUUCAGUCCACAAGAUUGUAACGGAAAGCGGGACUAAUG